rnacentral:lncRNA from 1 species
GUGUUCCUGCUAGAAACUACAACAAAAAUUCCAUUGGACUAGAAGCAAAGACUUUCCCCUGGCAUCUUUGGGCUUCUAAUGUCCUUAAACCUACAGGCUAAGGAAAGAAUAACAGUGUUAGGAGGGAACCAGAUUACCAUGGGGAAGUUGGAUUGCUUCUUCACACAGAGGUAAGAAAGAUUAUGUCUGGAGCGUAGAAGAUUUUUUAGGGUAUCUCUUAGGACUAUCUUAACAUGUAAUUAAAGUCAAUGGGAAACUAUAACAACCUAAUCCAGACAGGAUGACAAAGGGCAUGAGCCUUCAGGAAUGAAGGUAUGGGUCACUUCUCCAGGAAAAGAGCCAAAACCUGCCGAAGUACCUGCCGGGUGGAGGAAAUGCAGAAUGGGUAGAAGAAGAAGAAGGUAGUUACAAAUACCAGCUAAGGCCACAUGACUAGUUGCAAAAAAAAUGAGGAUUAUAGUUGACAUGACAACACCUGUUGUAUUUUCUCAAGAAUGCAUUUGUUCAGAUUUGUGUUUUCCUUCGAUUUUUAAUCCUAUGUUGUAACAUCAAUUAAAAGAAUAUCAAUUAUCAUAUUUAAGUUUGAGAUACUAAAAGGAUGUCCCCUAAAAAACAUUGCCACCUAUUCUAAAUUUAUAAUUUGUUAGCAGUUGUACAACUGUUGUAUGGGUUAUAUCAUGUUAGGCAUAAUUAUGACCUGGUUAAAUAGAUAAUGCAUCUGUGAUUGUACAUGGGAUGGUUAUGUUUAGGCAUUAUCAUGACCUGAUAAUUGUUUUCAUUUGGAGAUUAAUUAUGACUUAAGCUGUGAUUGUGUGUCAAGUUGAAAAGAGGCUGCGAUGGCUAUUCUCGGCUGUCAGCUUGACUAUCUCUGCAGUGGACUGCAGUCCAGGAAUGGAGACCACGUCUGUGAGUGUUUAUCUGCUUCAUUUGAAGUGGGUGAAUCUACUUCUAGUCUAGACCUUUGAGGUAGAAGGCACACAUCUUUUAUCCGAAUCUUAAGGUAGGAAGACAUGGGCAUUUAAUUCAGAUCUUGAGGUAGUAAGACUCAAAUCCCUUUAAUCCGGGACAUACCUUCAACUGGACAUCUAUGUAAGGGCGUAGAAGAAGGAAGCUUUUGCUCUUUGUCUAUUUGCCCUCACCUUGCUAGCACAUCCAUUCCUUCACUGGCUUUAGAGCCUAUGUCUGGAUUGGAGCAUAUACUGAAGACCAGCUGCAACAUGCAGCCUUGUGGGACAGAACAACUACUAGAUUCUCGGACUUUCUGGUCAUGGCUAGCCAUUGUUGGAUCAGCUGGACUGCAGCCUGUAAGUCAUUCCAGUGAAUCUUCUUGGGAGGGGAAGGUUGGAGAAGAUGAAUUCAUUCUUUAAGUUAGUACAGGGAAUAAAUCUUAAGUGUGAUCUUCUACAGGUAAUGCAUUCUGUUUUCCUUCUCAAGUCCUGUUAUGCCUUUGCCAACUUUUCAGAAGGAUCACCUAGAAUGAAGUGGUGCAUUCAGGCUAUCCCUACAGUACCAUGCUUGAUCAGUUCUUAGUUCUUCACCAGUGACCCCCUCCACCCACAUGGUUUUUUUAAUAAAACAAAAAGGAGGAACUGUGGCAAUGCAUUGUGAUAAAAAUAUCUUACAUCCUAAGAGACUGGAAUUUUUGCUAGCACAGUCUGAGUUAAUAAUACACCUUGAGGUCACUUAAGACUGCCAUGUACUAUGUAUGUACUUUGCCUGUUUGUUUAAUCUGCCUAUAAGAGAACAAUAUUAAAAUCAACUUUACUUGCCUUGGA